rnacentral:rRNA from 1 species
UGGGGAAUAUUGCACAAUGGGGGAAACCCUGAUGCAGCAACGCCGCGUGAGUGAUGACGGCCUUCGGGUUGUAAAGCUCUGUCUUCAGGGACGAUAAUGACGGUACCUGAGGAGGAAGCCACGGCUAACUACGUGCCAGCAGCCGCGGUAAUACGUAGGUGGCAAGCGUUGUCCGGAUUUACUGGGCGUAAAGGGAGCGUAUGCGGACUUUUAAGUGAGAUGUGAAAUACCCGGGCUCAACCUGGGUGCUGCAUUUCAAACUGGAAGUCUAGAGUGCAGGAGAGGAGAGUGGAAUUCCUAGUGUAGCGGUGAAAUGCGUAGAGAUUAGGAAGAACACCAGUGGCGAAGGCGACUCUCUGGACUGUAACUGACGCUGAGGCUCGAAAGCGUGGGGAGCAAAC